AAAACCUACCUGUAUUGGUUUAUGUCGUUAACCGGUUCGAGUUAUAUUGUACAGGUGGCAGACAUUAACGCUAGCUAAUGUUAGCUAGCUAUAGCUUUACGUUGUAUUAACUUAGUUAACCUGAUAAUUGAAGAGGGCAACUACAAUGCAGAGACAGACUGUCAUGGGCUGCAUGUGAGAUGCAUUGACCAACAUGGUCAGACAAGUGGUGACUGCUCGCUGAGAGACCUGAUCAAAACCUUCUGAAGAACAGAAGUUGCCUAAAGAAAGAUCAUCAACAUCCAGGCUGUGUUAGAUAAGGCUGUUUCCAUCGAUGGCUUGAAUCUUCAUGUGUGUUACGCCCUCUUGGUGAAUAGAAAAAAAUAAACGUAUGCCAAACAACACAAUGAAGCACACCACUCCGUUUCCCACCAUGCACACGAGGAAGAUCAGCAAGUAGGACACGAUGAAGAUGGUUGCUGUGGACGGCUGAUGCAGGACUGAUGCCAGUAGAAAUGCCUCCAGGAACAAAGCCAUUUUCUGGAGUUUGGCUCCACGUCACUGACAGCCUCACCGGGGCGAAUUCACAAAGAAUGAACUGCGGCCGCUGACAGCGCCAUGAAUUGCGCAUCAUCACGUCUCAAGGUCCGAUUCACAAAAGAUAUUGCACUAAUGAUAUUGCAGCGCAAAAACACCCAUAAAGUUCUGGAGCGGAGUGCAAUUUGCAACUGUUUUGUGUAUGUUAAAUGUUGAUUUGCAAUUUUCUGUAGUGGUCCCAGUAAUAUUUUUUCUUAAGGUGUACUGAAGUAGCAUAUCACAUGACAUGGUUAAGCAACGUUUGAGUCAAAAAAUGUUAUAAAUGCAGUUGCAAGAACGAUACUUUCCACUCAUGUGGAAAGAGAUGUUUGAUUUGAAAGAGAACUUAUUCUAAUUCUAACUCCUCUAAUUAUCUAUUAACUCCCCCUGCUUUCUCAUUCGUUUCUAUCUGCAGGAUGUCUCUUAUUUUUCUAUGACUCACUCAGUAUGGAGUGAUUGUUCUUUGUGGUGCUUUAACUGUGCGCUCUCUCUCUCGUGCCUCUGGGCGCAUGGAGAGCUGUUUCCUCUCCUACUCUGCUCUGUGUUACAGUGCGUAACCACCAUCUCCGUUUCUCCCAGCAGCAGGAUUUAUGUUGUUUUACAGUUUCAUUCCCUCAUGGUGAAUAUCUGUCUGUGCCAUUCGUUGUACUGUGAUGCGCUAUUGCUUCGCCUGGCUACAGUCGCUGCUGCCACGAUCACUGGAAAGUCGGGGCGUGACACCCCUCAUGAAGGCGCUUCAGUUACCACCAACUCUCCGAAGACGCUAAUCAUUUCACUAACUGCGUGCGGCUAUUAGCGCUGGUGUUUGUGAAUUGGACAUAUUUUUUUUUGCAUUGAGGCUCAUUUGCAUAGCAAGGGGCCAGUUUUGCGCCAAAUGUCUCCAUAUUACCUCAUUUACAUACCUGCAAGUAGCACCGGAGCACCGAGCCGCUUUUUGCUUGGCAACACAGUUAGAGGUGCAGUUCACCCUUGGCGGGUGCUUUGAGAAUUGGAGCGGUUUCUUUUUGUCGUAUUUAUGCAGAAUUAGCGGCUGCAAAAGCUGUGCAAUCCUUUUGUGAAUUCGCCCCACAGUUUGUUAAAACACAGUGGGCUUACUGCUGCUUUGUCCUGCUUACUGCUGCUUUCUCCGUGUGAGUGAGUUGAAUAAAAAAUAAGUGUGAAUAAAACAUGAAUGGGCAAAUAGAGGGCAUGGGUGGCUAAUUGAAGGAACUGGGGAAGUAAAGACUUUGAAAGCUCUUUUUAAUGUGCACCCAACUCUGCAGUUUUAAUUACUUAUUUAUAGAAACUUAAAUGUGUCUUGGUGCGAUGUUGUGUAUCUGAGCAUUGAGAAACAGAAAAGGCAUUGGUGAAGGUAGACCUAAUCAUGGCUAAAAUUAUACAUUUCCUGAGUUUUCAAUCACCGUCCUCGCUGCAUCCUGUGGACAGAGUUCAUGGUGUUUCUCAGUGUUGGUCAGUUUCUUCUUGCUUUCUCGCAGCCUGGCAACUCAGCAGGUGUG